AUGGGGACCCCAAAACCUUGGGACGCCCCAAAACCACCAGGACCCAAAAAACCACCGGGACCCCAAAACCCUGGGAUCCCCAAAACCUUGGGACCCCAAAUGGGGACCCCAAAACCCCGGGACCCCAAAAACCACUGGGACCCCAAAUGGGGACCCCAAAAACCACUGGGACCCCAAAUGGGGACCCCAAAAACCCUGAGACCCCAAAAACCGCUGGGACCCCACAACCCUGGGACACCCCCAAAUGGGGACCCCAAAACUCGAGACCCCCAAAACCCCGGGACACCUCCUGAAUGGGGAGCCCAAAAACCACUGGGACCCCCAAAAACCACUGGGACCCCCAAAAUCCUCCAGGGACCCCCAAAAUCCUCCAGGGACCCCCCACAAGCAUCCUGGGCCCUCCCCUCAAUUUUUGGGAUCCCCCUCUCAUCAGGGACCCCCCAAAUUUUUGGGGACCCCUUCCAAGCAUCCUGGGGUCCCCCCCUCAAUUUUAGGACCCCCGAAAAUCUUUGGGGACCCCCCCAGGGGCAGGACCGGGCGUCCCCUCCCCCCCCCCCCAAGGGGCGUUUUUGGGACCCCCCAAAAUUGGGCGUGGCCCCAGUGCCGUCUGAGCCUGUCACUGUCACUGUCACUGUCACCUGUCGGUGUCACCUGUCCGUGUCACCUAUGGGUGUCACUGUCACCUGUCGGUGUCACCUGUGGGUGUCACUGUCACCUGUCGGUGUCACUGUCACCUGUCGGUAUCACCUGUCCGUGUCACCUAUGGGUGUCACUGUCACCUGUCGGUGUCACCUGUGGGUGUCACUGUCACUGUCACCUGUCCGUGUCACCUGCUGGCCCCUCCCCUCCCCCCCCCGGGAUAUUUUUGUAUUUUCGUGGGAAAGAUUUGGAGAUAAAAAACCAGAGAAACGGGAACGGCUGUGGGGGAGGGGAGGGACGCACCUGGGGACACCUGGGACACAACUGGGGACACACCUGAGACACACCUGGGCACACCCAUUGUACACCUGGGCACACCUGGGAGACACCUGGGGACACCUGGGCACACCCAUUGGACACCUGGGGACACCUGGGCACACCUGGGACAUACCUGGGGACACCUGGAGACAGCUGGGGACACCGGGAACACACCUGGACACAGCUGGGGCACACUUGGAGACACACCUGGGCAUGCCUGGGACACACCUGAGGGCACCUGGGACACACCUGGGCACACCUGGGGACAGCUGA
rnacentral:lncRNA from 1 species